rnacentral:rRNA from 1 species
UACGUUCCCGGGCCUUGUACACACCGCCCGUCACAUCAUGGAAGUCGCUUGUUCCCGAAGGUCCACCUUUGGUGGGACGAAGGAAUGAGUGGCGACUGGGAUG